rnacentral:misc_RNA from 1 species
CAUUCAAAGCUGGUACACUUGCACUCCAAUUGCUCAAAUGAUCUCUGGUCCCUGGAGGUGAUGGUGAUCUAGGACGUGGUGAUCGAGCUGGAGAUGUACAACCUGAACCAGAAUUUGCAGAGCUAGAACGUGAUCUCAAACCAUGUCAUUGAUUUAUCAACUCUCAAGACAUGUCUUUGAAAUGCAGAGCAUAUUCUUUGAUAACAUUAGUGGAACAUUUUAUUAUGUUAUAUAUUAGAUAUAUUUACUAUGAUUGUCUGAAAUGAUUUAAGUUAGACUUAAAUGGAAGGCAUAGCAUAAAGAGGUGGGGUCUUGUCUGGGCUUCACCCUCCUCCUAUUGCCAUAGCACACCAUGCUCCUGCAAUCAAUACUUGAAUCCUUUCUCUGUAGUUGAAGUAUGAAAAGUGGAAGCAUGCACAUGUUAUAUUCUUAUAUUAUGUACAGUGCAUAUAAUGUAUACA